UCCAUGACUUUUAGAUGUUUACCGUGCCAAAUCUAUAGAUAAGAGAAAAGCAUCGGAGGAGAAGAGGUUUUUCAUCGGAGGUGAUGUUUUAUUGAUGCUUGUAGUUUUGUGGUUUUGAAUCGGUGGAUUUUGUUGUGGUUGGGUUUCAAUUGAUCUUGGUUUUUAUGUUUUGUUGAGGUAAUGAUUUUGGUUUCUAUGUGUUUGGGUAUGGUUUUGUGGUUUUCAGUGGGUGGUUUUUGUUGAGGUUUGGAUUGUCAGUUUUUAUAGAUGUUUGGGUGUUUUGUUCUUUGAAUGGUGAUGAUUAUUUUGUUCUUAUUGUGUAGGUUUUAUGCAAAGGAGUAUUUGGGUUGUUCUUUUGGUGUUGUUAGUUGGUUUUACUUGGUUGUGCUGCUGUGAAUCAGGGUUUGUAAAACUCCAACCACUGAGAUACAGGACAACAGAACAAAUCAAUCUUUGUUUGCUUUGUAAAAGGUGAAGUAUUUGCAAGAGCCGGACAACAAUACCAAGUCCUGCAAAGCCAGAGGCAGCGAUCUCCGCGUUCAUUUUAAGGUCGCUGAGAUUGUUGCUAACUUCAUUGUGAAGGGUCUGGUAUUCCAGCAAGGUCGUAGUUCAGGCAUAUCGUCAGGCAAUUACAAGUAUGUCAAUGUUCCUCAAGAAAUCAACAGGCUGAGGUGCGGGGUGAACUAUCACGCUCUUAAAUUUCUUCCCGAGAUAGAGCAGAUGGCUGAUUUAUUGGCAUCAAGGAUGAGAAACCGCACUGGAAGUUCCAAUCCUUAUAUGUUAUGGAGGUCAUGAAGAUAUUGGAGAUUGACCUUGAAAGUGGAUGGAUUUUGCCCAAGUUAUUUCAGUGGGAAAGGAAAGCAAAUCACUUCUACACACAAAAAGACAUUGAUCAGGUCCGGGCCGAGUGGGCAAAGUAUGUCAGCCAAUUUCAACAAAGCUAGUGUGUCAAGAAGAUUCUAAUUUUGGACACGCAUCAUCUAUAACCCAUAUUAACUAGUUAUGCAGUUGGUCUAAGUAUCUAUUUUUGGCCUGCAAGUACAGUUUAUGAUCAGUAGUAUGAGAUAUCAAUGUUUUUUGGGUUACAUUUGUUGAUCAUGCCAACUGCUAUGGGUUAUUGAACUGAUGUUUAUUAAGUUUAGCUCCAUGAUGGAUGUAUGUAUAGCUGCAGGAACAGAUUGAUCAAAUAUUGGUAUUUUUGUGAAUGGA